rnacentral:rRNA from 1 species
UCGAACGCGAAAGUCCCCUUCGGGGGAUAAGUAGAGUGGCGCACGGGUGAGUAACACGAUAGGUAAUCUACCUUCGGGUGGGGAAUAACCCAGGGAAACUUGGGCUAACACCGCAUAAUGCAGCGGCACCACAUGGUGACAGUUGUUAAAGCGGGGGAUCUUAGGACCUCGCGCCUGAAGAGGAGCCUGCGGCGGAUUAGCUAGUUGGUGAGGUAACGGCUCACCAAGGUAACGAUCCGUAGCCGGCCUGAGAGGGCGGUCGGCCACACUGACACUGACAUACGGGUCAGACUCCUACGGGAGGCAGCAGUCGGGAAUUUUGGGCAAUGGGCGAAAGCCUGACCCAGCAACGCCGCGUGAAGGAUGAAAUCCCUCGGGAUGUAAACUUCGCAAGAAUAGGAAGAAUUAGUAGGGGUUAAUACCCCCUAUGAUGACGGUACUAUUUGUAAGCUCCGGCUAACUCCGUGCCAGCAGCCGCGGUAAUACGGGGGGAGCAAGCGUUGUUCGGAUUUACUGGGCGUAAAGGGCGCGUAGGCGGUCAGCACAAGUCAGUUGUGAAAUCUCCGGGCUUAACCCGGAAAGGUCAACUGAUAUUGUGCGACUAGAGUGCGGAAGGGGCAACUGGAAUUCUCGGUGUAGCGGUGAAAUGCGUAGAUAUCGAGAGGAACACCUGCGGCGAAGGCGGGUUGCUGGGCCGACACUGACGCUGAUGCGCGAAAGCCAGGGGAGCGAACGGGAUUAGAUACCCCGGUAGUCCUGGCCUUAAACGAUGGAUGCUUGGUGUCUGGGGUUUUAUAGUCCCCGGGUGCCGCAGCUAACGCGUUAAGCAUCCC